UUUUUUCUUCGGAUGAGAGUUUCCUAGUGGCGAACGGGUGAGUAACGCGUUGGUGACCUGCCCCAAAGAUGGGGAUAACAGUUCGAAAGAAUUGCUAAUACCCUAUGUGAUCAGUUGGAUUAGAAGCCUUCUGAUUAAAGGAGUAAUCCGCUUUGGGAGGGACCUGCGUCCCAUCAGCUAGUUGGUAGGGUAACGGCCUACCAAGGCAAUGACGGGUAGGGGACCUGAGAGGGUGACCCCCCACAAUGGCACUGAAACACGGGCCAUACACCUACGGGUGGCAGCAGUAGGGAAUAUUGGACAAUGGGCGAAAGCCUGAUGCAGCAACGCCGCGUGUGUGAAGAAGGCCUUCGGGUCGUAAAGCACUUUUCUGGGAGAUGAGAAAGGACAGUAUCCCAGGAAUAAGUCUCGGCUAACUACGUGCCAGCAGCCGCGGUAAAACGUAGGAGGCGAGCGUUAUCCGGAUUCACUGGGCGUAAAGCGCGUGCAGGCGGUUUGGUAAGUUGGGCGUGAAAGCUCCCGGCUCAACUGGGAGAGGUCGUCCAAAACUACCAGACUAGAGAGCGAUAGAGGAAAAUGGAAUUCCCGGUGUAGUGGUGAAAUGCGUAGAUAUCGGGAGGAACACCAGUGGCGAAGGCGAUUUUCUGGAUCGUUUCUGACGCUCAGACGCGAAAGCUAGGGUA
rnacentral:rRNA from 1 species